rnacentral:rRNA from 1 species
UUCCGGUUGAUCCUGCCGGAGGCCAUUGCUAUCGGUGUCCGAUUUAGCCAUGCGAGUUGUACGUAUAACGUAGCAAACUGCUCAGUAACACGUGGCCAAUCUGCCCUAUGGACUGGGAUAACCUCGGGAAACUGAGGCUAAUCCCGGAUAGCACAUCCAGCCUGGAACUGGCGGAUGUGUGAAACGCUCCGGCGCCAUAGGAUGAGGCUGCGGCCGAUUAGGUAGACGGUGGGGUAACGGCCCACCGUGCCGAUAAUCGGUACGGGUCAUGAGAGUGAGAGCCCGGAGACGGACUCUGAGACACGAGUCCGGGCCCUACGGGGCGCAGCAGGCGCGAAACCUUUACACUGCACGCCAGUGCGAUAGGGGGACACCGAGUGCGAGGGCAUAGAGCCCUCGCUUUUCUGUACCGUAAGGUGGUACAGGAACAAGGGCUGGGCAAGACCGGUGCCAGCCGCCGCGGUAACACCGGCAGCCCAAGUGAUGGCCGAUAUUAUUGGGCCUAAAGCGUCCGUAGCUGGCCGGGCAAGUCCGUCGGGAAAUCCACGCGCUUAACGCGUGGGCGUCCGGCGGAAACUGUUCGGCUUAGGACCGGAAGAUCCGAGGGGUACGUCUGGGGUAGGAGUGAAAUCCCGUAAUCCUGGACGGACCACCGAUGGCGAAAGCACCUCGGAAGGACGGAUCCGACAGUGAGGGACGAAAGCUAGGGUCUCGAACCGGAUUAGAUACCCGGGUAGUCCCAGCCGUAAACGAUGUUCGCUAGGUGUGUCACUCACUACGAGUGAGUGAUGUGCCGUAGGGAAGCCGCUAAGCGAACCGCCUGGGAAGUACGUCCGCAAGGAUGAAACUUAAAGGAAUUGGCGGGGGAGCACUACAACCGGAGGAGCCUGCGGUUUAAUUGGACUCAACGCCGGA